AACGCGAAGAACCUUACCCAGACUUGACAUGCAGCGGACAGCGCUAGAAAUAGCGUCUUCCUUCGGGACCGCUGCACAGGUGCUGCAUGGCUGUCGUCAGCUCGUGCCGUGAGGUGUUUGGUUAAGUCCAGCAACGAGCGCAACCCUUAUCAUUAGUUGCCAACACUUAGGGUGGGAACUCUAAUGAGACUGCCUGGGUAACCAGGAGGAAGGUGAGGAUGAGGUCAAGUCCGCAUGGCCCUUAUGUCUGGGGCUACACACGUGCUACAAUGGUCGGUACAGAAGGCAGCAAAACCGCGAGGUGAAGCAAAUCCCAAAAGCCGGCCCCAGUUCAGAUUGUAGUCUGCAACUCGACUACAUGAAGACGGAAUUGCUAGUAAUGGCAGGUCAGCACACUGCCGUGAAUACGUUCCCGGGCCUUGUACACACCGACAUA
rnacentral:rRNA from 1 species